rnacentral:sRNA from 1 species
GCACGGCCUCCGCCGAAUCCGCAGCGCCGCCGCGCGACCGGAACCGGGGACCCACCGAACCCGGGGUGAAUCGGCCCGUCCCCCGCUCAGGACACGGCCGUAGGGCACACCUUCCAAAAGCACCCGCCCGAACCCGACAGCUAACUCGGUAGGCGGAACACGGAAGGAGU